AAAAAAGAAAAAAGAGAACACCGGAGGGGGUGAACUACGAAGAAAGCACUGAAAGUCUUGCGGGUUAUGAGCCCGAAUUUUUAUGGCACGUGUCAUUCUAUUCAUUUUCUAAGCUUCUUGGAGAUUUUGUGAGCAAACGUGCCAUCGACUUCGACUCGUCCUCAACUCUAGCCAGUCUUCAUCACGCCAGAU